AUGGCCACAUCAGGUUGGAACACCGGUUCCCGUAUAGUCACCACAGUUAAGCAACGUCGAGCCUGGUCAGUGCCUAGAUGGGUGUCCGCUUGGGAAUAUCAGUUGCUA